rnacentral:rRNA from 1 species
AUAGCGUAUAUUAAAGUUGUUGCGUUUAAAAAGCUCGUAGUUGGAUCUGCGGCCUAGGAUAGCGGUCCCCCAAUGGGUGGUCACUGCUUUUCCUGGCCUAAUAUCUCUGGUUUUCCCUUGCUGCUCUUCACUGAGUGGCUUGGGUGGCUGGAAAAUUUACUUUGAAAAAAUUAGAGUGCUUAAAGCAGGCGCAAGCCUGAAUAGUGGUGCAUGGAAUAAUGGAAUAGGACCUCGGUUCUAUUUUGUUGGUUUUCGGAGCUCGAGGUAAUGAUUAAGAGGGACAGACGGGGGCAUUAGUAUUGCGACGUUAGAGGUGAAAUUCUUGGAUCGUCGCAAGACUAACUACUG